rnacentral:pre_miRNA from 1 species
AGUGGGAUAGCUGGGUCAAAUGGUGGUUCCAUUCCAAUUUUUCUGAGCAAUCUCAAUACUGCUUUCUAGAUUGGUUUCACCAAUCUGUAGUCCCACCAGCAAU